CGGGGUGCAGCAGGCGCGAAAACUUUACAAUGCUGGCAACAGCGAUAAGGGGACCUCGAGUGCCAGGAUAUAAUCUUGGCUGUCGUGAUGCCUAAAAAGCAUUGCAUAGCAAGGGCCGGGCAAGACCGGUGCCAGCCGCCGCGGUAACACCGGCGGCUCGAGUGGUAACCGCUAUUAUUGGGUCUAAAGGGUCUGUAGCCGGCCGGAUAAGUCUCUUGGGAAAUCCGACAGCUCAACUGUCGGGCUUUCAGGGGGUACUGUUCGGCUCGAGGCCGGGAGAGGUGAGAGGUACUUCAGGGGUAGGGGUGAAAUCUUGUAAUCCUUGAAGGACCACCAGUGGCGAAGGCGUCUCACCAGAACGGUCCUGACGGCAAGGGACGAAAGCUAGGGGCACGAACCGGAUUAGAUACCCGGGUAGUCCUAGCCGUAAACGAUACUCGCUAGGUGUCGGCCACGGUGCGACCGUGGUCGGUGCCGUAGGGAAGCCGUGAAGCGAGCCACCUGGGAAGUACGGCCGCAAGGCUGAAACUUAAAGGAAUUGGCGGGGG
rnacentral:rRNA from 1 species